UAAAACAGUCAGGAUGUUGGCUUAGAAGCAGCCAUCAUUUAAAGAAAGCGUAAUAGCUCACUGAUCGAGUCGUCCUGCGCGGAAGAUGUAACGGGGCUAAGCCAGUCACCGAAGCUGCGGAUAUCCGUAAGGAUAUGGUAGGAGAGCGUUCUGUAAGCCUGCGAAGGUGUCUUGUAAAGGAUGCUGGAGGUAUCAGAAGUGCGAAUGCUGACAUGAGUAGCGAUAAUGGGGGUGAAAAGCCCCCACGCCGUAAGCCCAAGGUUUCCUGUUCAACGUUCAUCGGAGCAGGGUGAGUCGGCCCCUAAGGCGAGGCAGAGAUGCGUAGCUGAUGGGAAGCAGGUUAAUAUUCCUGCACCGUCGUAUGAUGCGAUGGGGGGACGGAUCGCGGAAGGUUGUCUGACUGUUGGAAUAGUCAGUUUCUGGUUCAUAGGAGGUACUUAGGCAAAUCCGGGUACGCAAUCCAAGGGACUGGGACGAGUGAACUUGUUCACGUAGCAAUCGGAAGUGGUUCCAAGAAAAGCCUCUAAGCUUCAGUCAUACGAGACCGUACCGCAAACCGACACAGGUGGGCGAGAUGAGUAUUCUAAGGCGCUUGAGAGAACUCGGGAGAAGGAACUCGG
rnacentral:rRNA from 1 species